rnacentral:rRNA from 1 species
AACGAACGCUGGCGGCAGGCCUAACACAUGCAAGUCGAGCGAGGACUUCGGUUCUAGCGGCGGACGGGUGAGUAACGCGUGGGAAUGUGCCCUUCUCUACGGAAUAGCCCUGGGAAACUGGGAGUAAUACCGUAUACGCCCUAUUGGGGAAAGAUUUAUCGGAGAAGGAUCAGCCCGCGUUGGAUUAGGUAGUUGGUGGGGUAAUGGCCUACCAAGCCGACGAUCCAUAGCUGGUUUGAGAGGAUGAUCAGCCACACUGGGACUGAGACACGGCCCAGACUCCUACGGGAGGCAGCAGUGGGGAAUCUUAGACAAUGGGGGCAACCCUGAUCUAGCCAUGCCGCGUGAGUGAUGAAGGCCUUAGGGUUGUAAAGCUCUUUCAGCUGGGAAGAUAAUGACGGUACCAUCAGAAGAAGCCCCGGCUAACUCCGUG